rnacentral:rRNA from 1 species
AUACGUAGGGGACGAGCGUUGUCCGGAAUUACUGGGCGUAAAGGGCGCGCAGGCUGUGCUGCAAGUCAGCUGUGAAAUAUCUGGGCUUAACCUGGAUAUGCGGUUGAGACUGCAGUGCUGGAGUGCUGUAGAGGCAAGUGGAAUUCCCAGUGUAGCAGUGAAAUGCGUAGAUAUUGGGAAGAACACCGGUGGUGAAGGCGACUUGCUGGGCAGCAACUGACGCUGAGGCGCGAAAGCCAGGGGAGC